rnacentral:lncRNA from 1 species
GUUGAUCCCGCUCGCGGUUUCUUUUCUAUUCAUUUUCCGCCGUCCGUCUAGUCCGUUUUUUUCUUUUUUGUUUUACCGAAAAUUAUUUAUCGGUUUUUCUUUACUCAUGUGGAUUUGAUGUGUAACGUUAUUGUUGAACGCUUACACACGGCUGUGAAACGAAGAAAACAUAAUACAUUUAAAAUAUAGUUUGUUUUUUUAUCAGCGUUAAGUACGUUCAAUACGAUUUGUUUUGCCAAACGAUAUAGGGAGAUAGCUGUUGUUUGAUUUAUUUAUACUUUUUUUGAACGGAAAUGAAUUGAAUUCAAAGGGUCUUCGGUGCUAACGAUACUGUUCAAAACGUUCACAGCUAUAAAACAACGAGUACUCGUUAUGAGUGUUACAACAUCAGUCGUUACACUUGGACGAAAGGAAAUUAAAACUUUUGCGAUGUAAUGUAAAUAAGAAAACCCGAUUGAUUUGAUGUGAAAUGCUGUAAUGAUAUUAUAAAAUGCACACACAGCUAUAAAAUAAUGAAGUAAACAUGGAAUAAUGCAGUUACUACUUCGGUACUAAUGAUUAACUAAUAAAAACAAACACAACUAUAAACUAAAGAAAACAUGGUAUGCCAUGCAUUUUUCAACUCAUUCUUUCAAUUAUAUAUGUUGAAUGUUAUAUUUUCGGUUUGUAUAAAUAAAUCUUACAGUAUCAGUUUUUACACUUGGAUGAAAGGAAAUGAAUAUAAAUUAAAACUUAUGUGAUAUUAUAAGGAUAAUAGUAAACCCAGUAUGUUUUAGUCUUAAUGUAAAUUA